rnacentral:rRNA from 1 species
GUGCCAGCAGCCGCGGUAAGACAGAGGGGGCAAGCGUUGCUCGGAAUUACUGGGCGUAAAGGGCGCGUAGGCGGGCCGCGCAAGUCGAGUGUGAAAUCCCCGGGCUCAACUUGGAGGCUGCUUUGGAAACUGCCGUGCUCGAGUGCGGGAGAGGCGCGUGGAAUUGCAGGUGUAGCGGUGAAAUGCGUAGAUAUCUGCAGGAACACCAGUGGCGAAGGCGGCUCUCUGGACUGUCACUGACGCUGAGGCGCGAAAGCUAGGGGAGCAAACGGGAUUAGAUACCCCGGUAGUCCUAGCCGUAAACGAUGGGCACUAGGUGUGGGAGGUAUCGACCCCUUCCGUGCCGCAGCUAACGCAUUAAGUGCCCCGCCUGGGGAGUACGGCCGCAAGGUUGAAACUCAAGGGAAUUGACGG